UGCCAGCCGCCGCGGUAAGACGGAGGUGGCAAACGUUGCUCGGAAUCACUGGGCUUAAAGGGCGUGUAGGCGGCUAGCUAAGUCGGAUGUGAAAGACCUCGGCUUAACCGAGGAACUGCAUUCGAUACUGGCUAGCUAGAGUGCGAGAGGGGCAAGUGGAACUCCAGGUGUAGCGGUGAAAUGCGUAGAUAUCUGGAGGAACGCCGGUGGCGAAAGCGACUUGCUGGCUCGCAACUGACGCUGAGGCGCGAAAGCUAGGGUAGCGAACGGGAUUAGAUA
rnacentral:rRNA from 1 species